rnacentral:rRNA from 1 species
GACGAACGCUGGCGGCGUGCUUAACACAUGCAAGUCGAACGGAAAGGCCCUGCUUUUGUGGGGUGCUCGAGUGGCGAACGGGUGAGUAACACGUGAGUAACCUGCCCUUGACUUUGGGAUAACUUCAGGAAACUGGGGCUAAUACCGGAUAGGAGCUCCUGCUGCAUGGUGGGGGUUGGAAAGUUUCGGCGGUUGGGGAUGGACUCGCGGCUUAUCAGCGUGUUGGUGGGGUAGUGGCUUACCAAGGCUUUGACGGGUAGCCGGCCUGAGAGGGUGACCGGCCACAUUGGGACUGAGAUACGGCCCAGACUCCUACGGGAGGCAGCAGUGGGGAAUAUUGCACAAUGGGCGGAAGCCUGAUGCAGCAACGCCGCGUGCGGGAUGACGGCCUUCGGGUUGUAAACCGCUUUCGCCUGUGACGAAGCGUGAGUGGCGGUAAUGGGUAAAGAAGCACCGGCUAACUACGUG